rnacentral:miRNA from 14 species
AGGUCAGGACUUGCGCAAUGUU